UACGGGGGGGGCAAGCGUUGUUCGGAAUUACUGGGCGUAAAGGGCUCGUAGGUGGCCAACUAAGUCAUACGUGAAAUCCCUCGGCUUAACCGGGGAACUGCGUCUGAUACUGGAUGGCUUGAGUUUGGGAGAGGGACGCGGAAUUCCAGGUGUAGCGGUGAAAUGCGCAGAUAUCAGGAAGAACACCCGUGGCGAAGGCGGCUUUCUGGGACGGUACUGACGCUGAGACGCGAAAGCGUGGGGAGCGAACAGG
rnacentral:rRNA from 1 species